rnacentral:rRNA from 1 species
CGCGUAGGCGGACAGUUUAGUCAGAGGUGAAAGCCCAGGGCUCAACCUUGGAAUUGCCUUUGAUACUGGCUGUCUUGAGUACGGGAGAGGUGAGUGGAACUCCGAGUGUAGAGGUGAAAUUCGUAGAUAUUCGGAAGAACACCAGUGGCGAAGGCGACUCACUGGCCCGUUACUGACGCUGAGGCGCGAAAGCGUGGGGAGCAAACA